rnacentral:misc_RNA from 1 species
UGGUUCUGGCAUCGAUGAAGAACGCAGCGAAAUGCGAUAAGUAAUGUGAAUUGCAGAAUUUAGUGAAUCAUCGAAUCUUUGAACGCACAUUGCGCCCCUUGGUAUUCCGGGGGGCAUGCCUGUUCGAGCGUCAUUAUAACCCUCAAGCUUAGCUUGGUGUUGGAGCCUGUCUUCUAACAGCUCCUAAAACUAGUGGCGGCGCCUUCUAGCUCUAAGCGUAGUAAUACUUCUCGCUAUAGUGUCUAGAGGUGUCCUGCCAGAACCCCCUAAUUUUCUAUGGUUGACCUCGGAUCAGGUAGGGAUACCCGCUGA